AUUUAUAUAGUAUAAAAAUUAUUUUUGACUUCCAAUCAAAAGAUCUAUUUAAAAUAGUAUAAAUA
rnacentral:tRNA from 2 species